UACGGAGGGGGCUAGCGUUGUUUCGGAAUUACUGGGCGUAAAGCGCACGUAGGCGGCUUUGUAAGUUAGAGGUGAAAGCCCGGGGCUCAACUCCGGAAUUGCCUUUAAGACUGCAUCGCUAGAAUUGUGGAGAGGUAAGUGGAAUUCCGAGUGUAGAGGUGAAAUUCGUAGAUAUUCGGAAGAACACCAGUGGCGAAGGCGACUUACUGGACACAUAUUGACGCUGAGGUGCGAAAGCGUGGGAGCAAACAGG
rnacentral:rRNA from 1 species